AUUUGCUUCCAUUCUUUAAAAAAGCCCCUUUUCUUUCUUCAGGUUGAGCUGUUUCCAGCCAGGCAAAGAAGCAAAUUUCUCUCUUGUGAUGCCAAAUACAGCAACAAAGUCUUCAUCAGAGAGAUGGUGGCAUAUAUGGUGACUUGCCUUGAAAUCAGGAUGACCUGCUUCUGACAUUUUGACCAGUGACCCUAGAAAAAUCACUGAACCUCUUGGUAUCUCAGAUGGUGCUUACCUGGUCCCAGGUAUCCAGGAGCAUGACAUCACUUGGGUUCAGAUCAUCCUGUGUGAAAUCUGUGAUCUCAGUAACAAUGAAACGACCAGUCUUAUUGGAACACUCAAAGAGACGGGGUUGGACAUCAAGGAUUUCCUGCUGGAGUCUGCAAGGAUCCCCUGGGGAAGAUGUCUCUUUACUCAUUUUCCAUCCUUUCCUUGAGUUCCUUUGACUUCGCUGUUGGGAAGGGGAAAAGAGAAAGAAUGCCAUACUGUUUUACCUUUCCAUACCAGAGGUAGUGCUCAUUU